rnacentral:lncRNA from 1 species
GUAAAAUAUAUUGUAAAAUUUCAGUUACCUAACCUAGAUUUGUGACGACAAUUUUUAUUGAAAGUUUAAUGUCUUUUUCCUAUUGCUGAGUCUAUGGAUUAUGGAUUUCCAUAGCUAUGUCAUUAGCAUAGUUAUUUUCAUGUCACAACUGUCACAUAUUUUUAUAGCUUCUUGUUUGACUUUACUGAUUUUUUUAUAUUGCACUGAGUAUGUACCAAAGCAAUGCCUUGGAAUUAAGAUUAUUGCCAAUGGUACUGCAGUCACAAGGGCAUUAAAUAGAAUGAGAGAGAGAGAAUUUUUACACCAUCAAAAGACAGACACCUCAAAUAAGACAAUCAAGACAGCACUCAAGAUAGCUAUAUUCUCAUCCUUGUUGUUUCAAAA